rnacentral:rRNA from 1 species
UACGUAGGGGGCAAGCGUUGUCCGGAAUCAUUGGGCGUAAAGAGCGUGUAGGCGGCCACUUAAGUCCUGCGUGAAAUCUUGCGGCUCAACCGCAAGCGGUCGUGGGAAACUGGGUGGCUAGAGUGCGGGAGAGGAGAGUGGAAUUCCUGGUGUAGCGGUGGAAUGCGCAGAUAUCAGGAAGAACACCCGUGGCGAAGGCGGGUCUCUGGGCCGUUACUGACGCUGAGGAGCGAAAGCGUGGGGAGCGAACAGG